UGGGUGCAGGUGUGAACACGACGAUUCCCUAGCCUGCCAGGUGGGCCCCGCCUGUCAGGGGGAGGAGGACCAAAUAAGGUGAAUGCCAUUUUAGGGUUUGGUGGUGAUGGGGAUUUGGUUGGUUGAUUACUUCUAGUGGGGGUUGGGAUUAUUUGUUAAUCUGCACAAUUAGAAAACAAAUUAAUCAAAUGAUUAAAAGAAAAGAUUGGAGGAGGUAGGAAGGGGGGCAUAUGCUUAGCUGUUGAUCUGCAGCAGAAUUCAGAGGAGAUGUUGGAUUUCACAAUUGGUUUGAUGGUGAUCACAAUUCACAAAUUGGGGAUGAUGAUGAUUUCAUCCUAAAGCUUGUAUGUACAAUUGAUUAGCUUUUGCACCACCAUUAAUUCUUUGAUUCAUGUCGUGGUGAUCAACCAUAAAAAAACAUCACUCUUUCCACUUCAUUUGUCAUAUGCCUCCUUCGUAUUGUCUGAUUUAACCUUGGGAUACCGAUCGAGCUCUGAGUCAUUGACAUAUGGGUCCCAUGAGACGAGGGGUUGAUAGGUAGUGUGUGAUUGAAGUGAUUAGUCUGGCUUGUUACACACAUCUAAUGGUAAUUAUCUCGUGCUCAUGAAAAAAAAAAGUAGAAUAAAACCUGUCGUAAUCUAGCUUUUGUUUUUGUUUUAACACAUAUGGUCCAAGCUUGCAUGAACACGUCUGUUUCCACGUGAUUUGCAUAGUUUUGACCUAGACGAUGGGUACAUGAAUUAGAUAAUGGAUACUAAGUAAAUUACGCGUGUUAGCAGCAGCUGAUUUUUGACCAAUAAAAGUUAAUUAACCCACCCGCUGAUUCUAUUUCUACAGAUUAAAAAUCAUUCAUACAAUUUGUCAAGGUUUCAAUUAAUUAACUAGGCCAUUUAAUUUUAAUUAUGACCAGUCAUCGCUGUCCAAACCCUAUCACACCAAAUAUGCCUUUAUGUGCCGAACAAUUUGGCCAUUUCAGGCGUCAAUGUCUCCUAUGGUUUUCUGGGUCAUUUCCAGCUCUGCAGCGAUCCGAUAAUGCAAAGAGUGUCGUUCUCAGAGGAUUUCAAUUUUUCCAAGUGGACACAUCACUUUUAAUUUGGGAGGCAGUCACAUCUUGAAACAAAUUUUCGGGUGAACUCGUGUCAUCGUGAUCAUCUUGUAAUCAUCUUUCUUUCGAGUUCG
rnacentral:lncRNA from 1 species